rnacentral:rRNA from 1 species
GUGCCAGCCGCCGCGGUAAUACGUAAGAGGCAAGCGUUGUCCGGAAUCACUGGGCGUGAAGGGUGCGCAGGCGGUCUAGUAAGUCAAGAGUGAAAUCCAUCGGCUCAACCGGUGAACUGCUUUUGAAACUACUAGACUUGAGAACAGAAGAAGAGAGUGGAAUUCCUGGUGUAGUGGUGAAAUACGUAGAUAUCAGGAAGAAUACCAAUGGCGAAAGCAGCUCUCUAAUCUGAUUCUGACGCUGAGGUACGAAAGCUAGGGUAUCAAACGGGAUUAGAAACCCGAGUAGUCC